rnacentral:rRNA from 1 species
ACAUGCCUACAUCAUAGCGUUAAUGCACCGAAUCCCAUUAGAAAUCCGCAGUUAAGCACACUCAGGAUAGAGUAGUACUGGGAUGGGUGACCACUCGGGAAGUCCUAGUGUUUUACAUGUC